rnacentral:rRNA from 1 species
UACAGGGGGGGCAAGCGUUGUUCGGAAUUACUGGGCGUAAAGGGUUUGUAGGUGGCUUGUUAAGUCAGACGUGAAAUCCCUCAGCUUAACUGGGGAACUGCGUCUGAGACUGGUGAGCUUGAGUGCAGGAGAGGAACGCGGAAUUCCAGGUGUAGCGGUGAAAUGCGUAGAUAUCUGGAGGAACACCGGUGGCGAAGGCGGCAUCCUGGACCGGCACUGACACUGAGGAGCGAAAGCCAGGGGAGCAAACGGG